CUUUACUGACGCUAAAGCUCGAAGGUGCGGGUAUCGAACAGGAUUAGAUACCCUGGUAGUCCGCACGGUAAACGAUGGAUGCCCGCUGUUGGCGAUACACUGUCAGCGGCCAAGCGAAAGCGUUAAGCAUCCCACCUGGGGAGUACGCCGGCAACGGUGAAACUCAAAGGAAUUGACGGGGGCCCGCACAAGCGGAGGAACAUGUGGUUUAAUUCGAUGAUACGCGAGGAACCUUACCCGGGCUUGAACUGCAGGAGAAGGAUACAGAGAUGUUGACGUCCUUCGGGACUCCUGUGGAGGUGCUGCAUGGUUGUCGUCAGCUUGUGCCGUGAGGUGUCGGCUUAAGUGCCAUAACGAGCGCAACCCCUUUCGCCAGUUGCCAUCAGGUGAUGCUGGGCACUCUGGGGAUACUGCCACCGUAAGGUGUGAGGAAGGUGGGGAUGACGUCAAAUCAGCACGGCCCUUACGUCCGGGGCUACACACGUGUUACAAUGGGGGGUACAGAGAGUCGGUCGCACGCAAGUACGGUCCAAUCAUGAAAGCUCCCCUCAGUUCGGAUUGGGGUCUGCAACCCGACCCCAUGAAGCUGGAUCGCUAGUAA
rnacentral:rRNA from 1 species